CUGGGAGGACCAUCUCCUAAGGCUAAAUACUCUCUAGUGACCGAUAGUGAACCAGUACCGUGAGGGAAAGGUGAAAAGCACCCCGGAAGGGGAGUGAAAUAGAACCUGAAACCGUGUGCUUACAAGUAGUCAGAGCCCGUUAAUGGGUGAUGGCGUGCCUUUUGUAGAAUGAACCGGCGAGUUACGAUUUGAUGCAAGGUUAAGCAGUAAAUGUGGAGCCGUAGCGAAAGCGAGUCUGAAUAGGGCGUUUAGUAUUUGGUCGUAGACCCGAAACCAGGUGAUCUACCCUUGGUCAGGUUGAAGUUCAGGUAACACUGAAUGGAGGACCGAACCGACUUACGUUGAAAAGUGAGCGGAUGAACUGAGGGUAGCGGAGAAAUUCCAAUCGAACCUGGAGAUAGCUGGUUCUCUCCGAAAUAGCUUUAGGGCUAGCCUCAAGUGAUGAUUAUUGGAGGUAGAGCACUGUUUGGACGAGGGGCCCCUCUCGGGUUACCGAAUUCAGACAAACUCCGAAUGCCAAUUAAUUUAACUUGGGAGUCAGAACAUGGGUGAUAAGGUCCGUGUUCGAAAGGGAAACAGCCCAGACCACCAGCUAAGGUCCCAAAAUAUAUGUUAAGUGGAAAAGGAUGUGGCGUUGCCCAGACAACUAGGAUGUUGGCUUAGAAGCAGCCAUCAUUUAAAGAGUGCGUAAUAGCUCACUAGUCGAGUGACACUGCGCCGAAAAUGUACCGGGGCUAAACAUAUUACCGAAGCUGUGGAUUGUCCUUUGGACAAUGGUAGGAGAGCGUUCUAAGGGCGUUGAAGCAUGAUCGUAAGGACAUGUGGAGCGCUUAGAAGUGAGAAUGCCGGUGUGAGUAGCGAAAGACGGGUGAGAAUCCCGUCCACCGAUUGACUAAGGUUUCCAGAGGAAGGCUCGUCCGCUCUGGGUUAGUCGGGUCCUAAGCUGAGGCCGACAGGCGUAGGCGAUGGAUAACAGGUUGAUAUUCCUGUACCACCUAUAAUCGUUUUAAUCGAUGGGGGGACGCAGUAGGAUAGGCGAAGCGUGCGAUUGGAUUGCACGUCUAAGCAGUAAGGCUGAGUAUUAGGCAAAUCCGGUACUCGUUAAGGCUGAGCUGUGAUGGGGAGAAGACAUUGAGUCUUCGAGUCGUUGAUUUCACACUGCCGAGAAAAGCCUCUAGAUAGAAAAUAGGUGCCCGUACCGCAAACCGACACAGGUAGUCAAGAUGAGAAUUCUAAGGUGAGCGAGCGAACUCUCGUUAAGGAACUCGGCAAAAUGACCCCGUAACUUCGGGAGAAGGGGUGCUCUUUAGGGUUAACGCCCAGAAGAGCCGCAGUGAAUAGGCCCAAGCGACUGUUUAUCAAAAACACAGGUCUCUGCUAAACCGUAAGGUGAUGUAUAGGGGCUGACGCCUGCCCGGUGCUGGAAGGUUAAGAGGAGUGGUUAGCUUCUGCGAAGCUACGAAUCGAAGCCCCAGUAAACGGCGGCCGUAACUAUAACGGUCCUAAGGUAGCGAAAUUCCUUGUCGGGUAAGUUCCGACCCGCACGAAAGGCGUAACGAUUUGGGCACUGUCUCAACGAGAGACUCGGUGAAAUCAUAGUACCUGUGAAGAUGCAGGUUACCCGCGACAGGACGGAAAGACCCCGUGGAGCUUUACUGUAGCCUGAUAUUGAAAUUCGGCACAGCUUGUACAGGAUAGGUAGGAGCCUUUGAAACGUGAGCGCUAGCUUACGUGGAGGCGCUGGUGGGAUACUACCCUAGCUGUGUUGGCUUUCUAACCCGCACCACUUAUCGUGGUGGGAGACAGUGUCAGGCGGGCAGUUUGACUGGGGCGGUCGCCUCCUAAAAGGUAACGGAGGCGCUCAAAGGUUCCCUCAGAAUGGUUGGAAAUCAUUCAUAGAGUGUAAAGGCAUAAGGGAGCUUGACUGCGAGACCUACAAGUCGAGCAGGGUCGAAAGACGGACUUAGUGAUCCGGUGGUUCCGCAUGGAAGGGCCAUCGCUCAACGGAUAAAAGCUACCCCGGGGAUAACAGGCUUAUCUCCCCCAAGAGUUCACAUCGACGGGGAGGUUUGGCACCUCGAUGUCGGCUCAUCGCAUCCUGGGGCUGUAGUCGGUCCCAAGGGUUGGGCUGUUCGCCCAUUAAAGCGGUACGCGAGCUGGGUUCAGAACGUCGUGAGACAGUUCGGUCCCUAUCCGUCGUGGGCGUAGGAAAUUUGAGAGGAGCUGUCCUUAGUACGAGAGGACCGGGAUGGACAUACCUCUGGUGUACCAGUUGUCGUGCCAACGGCAUAGCUGGGUAGCUAUGUGUGGACGGGAUAAGUGCUGAAAGCAUCUAAGCAUGAAGCCCCCCUCAAGAUGAGAUUUCCCAACUUCGGUUAUAAGAUCCCUCAAAGAUGAUGAGGUUAAUAGGUUCGAGGUGGAAGCAUGGUGACAUGUGGAGCUGACGAAUACUAAUCGAUCGAAGACUU
rnacentral:rRNA from 1 species